AUUGAACGCUGGCGGCAGGCCUAACACAUGCAAGUCGAACGAGUGGCGGACGGGUGAGUAAUGUCUGGGAAUCUGCCUGAUGGAGGGGGAUAACUACUGGAAACGGUAGCUAAUACCGCAUACCAUCGGAUGUGCCCAGAUGGGAUUAGCUGGUAGGUGGGGUAAUGGCUGACCUAGGCGACGAUCCCUAGCUGGUCUGAGAGGAUGAUCAGUCACACUGGAACUGAGAAACGGGCCAGAUGCCUACGGGAGGCAGCAGGGGGGAAUAUUGGACAAUGGGCGAAAGCCUGAUCCAGCCAUGCCGCGUGUGUGAAGAAGGGCUUCGGAUUGUAAAGCACUUUAAGUUGGGAGGCGUUACCAACAGAAUAAGCACCGGCUAACUUCGUGCCAGCAGCCGCGGUAAUUC
rnacentral:rRNA from 1 species